UUUUUUUUGGUUCUUUUUCCGGAGCUGGGGACCGAACCCAGGGCCUUGCGCUUCCCAGGCAAGCGCUCUACCACUGAGUUAAAUCCCCAACCCCUAAUCUAUCAUUUAAAGAGUUAUUUUAUUUUAUUCUUUUCAAUACACUGUUGGUCUCUUCAGACACACCAAAAGAGGGCAUUGGACCCCAUCAUAGAGGGUUGUGAGCCACCAAGUGGUUGCUGGGAAUUGAACUCAGGACCUCUGGAAAAGGAAUUAGUGCUCUUAACUGCUGAGUCAUCUCUCCAGGCUCUACAAACUAUAUUUAAGUUACAAAAUACAUCCAAUUUCAAGGUUACUCGGUAAUAUUACCUUUACAGGUACUAUGCCCAAUGAACACCAAUCUAAAACCU
rnacentral:lncRNA from 1 species